AAGACUUUAAUUUGGUGUAGUAGAGGUGGAUUCUCAUUGUUGAUGAAGAUAAUCUUGAGUUGGGAGCAAUCCUUGUUGUUCCUUACUCUUCUCACCUACAUGGGUUAGUCCCAAAGCAAAAGGAACACAUGCAAGGAUAUCUAUGGACAUAGAAUGAAAUACAUGGGAGGUGAUGUCCGAAGAUGCAUUAAUUACCUUGUCCCUUGCUCACCUUUGAGGGAAUGUGUGACUCCUUGAACUAAUGCAUGUGGUUGGAGUUGAUUGCAUAUAGUUCUUGCCAAAAUGAAUAAGUGUGAAUUUCAUUGGCGGAGUCACCCCUCAAGAACUUUCUAGUUCUUCCUCUUGGGGACCCACAUCACCUUGAUGGGGAUCCUUGGAGUUGUGGUAGCACUAGAUGAGUUAGUACUAGAAGUGUCCUUAAGAACCCAGUCGACCUUGGCUUGUGGUUCUUCCUUAUAUGAGUCAAUCUCCUCUUGAAGCUUUUCCUUGCCCUUGUGGUCUUGUGGUACAAGUACAUAUUGAGAGCUUGUUCCCUCGGGAGGAGUAGGAUCAUACUUCUCCUCUUGAGGAACACUGUUGGGAAUGGGAUAUGGACCUUCUUCCCAAACAUCUCCGUGGACGUUGAAGUAGCCAACACCUUGCUUCUUUCGAUGUCAUCCUUGCUUGCGCACAAUUUCCUCAAAUUGCUUACUUCCGGCAAGACACCCAAAGACACCUCUCUCUAUAAUUCCUUUUAAUAAAUCAUUUUCUUGCUCAAGUGUAACUUGCCUAAGAGAAUAAUUAGUGGAAUCAAUAGAGCUACUAGCAACAACAUCAUUUGAUCUAGCUUUAGCAUUGUUGUUACUAGAUGAAGAAACUUUAUUGCCUUUGUUACUAGUG
rnacentral:lncRNA from 1 species